CUGGCUGGAAGCAAUAUUUUGGAGGUUAUCGUUGGGGACGCCUAGGAUGAGCUCAAUAUUAGAGCCUCCAAGGGCUUGGAGAGCAUCUUGUCUAGUGUCAUAUAGUCGCAUUCUUCGGAUGUUGUACUGGUUGUAGAGAGCUACAACUUCUCCUGGUGCUGGCAAGUUGUUGCCAUUCCUGCCAUAACAAACUCCUAUUUGGGCACCUGCAAUAUUAGAUUUAACAAAUUACGAAGGCUGUGAUUUUGAUGUUCCUCUAUGGGAAAUACGUACUAUAAAGCAAAGGCGAUCAGUCCAGGGUAUGCAAAGAGAGGAAACCAUUUGAAGAUUUAAAAUAAAUAAUAAAUACUAUAAAUGAAGUAUAAGUUUUAGUAACAUGAGUGGGAAUGGGUUGAACCAAGAUGAGUCCAAAAAAGUAUGAAGACAGUGGUACAGAAAGGGACUAAGGAAGAGACCUGUUAUCUCUAGACUAGCCAUUAGCAGCCCAAAAAGAAGCAGCAUUGCAGCCAUCCUUGGGGGGCUUUUUCCUGCUGAAUAGAGCUUAGCCAUGGAGUUGAAGAAAGAGAAGAAUGAGAAGGUAAGAUAUAUGUUUAAGGCUAGGAUUUAGCUCCCCUUUUAUAGAGGCUUUGCGCUUGGGAAUUUAAGUGAUUAGAGCCCCGAGUUUCCACGGCUCCGCUUGCAGGUCAAUCACUCCGUGGAAAAAUCAGCAUUCAUCAUUCAAUUCGAUUGUACCUGUUUUCUGGGAUUUUUUUUUCUGCCUUUGAAAAGUCAUCCAUCUUCUCGAUGCCUAUUUUGAGGGUUGCUUGUUGCUAGCUAACGUUUAUUAAGAACUUUAACAUGCAUAUUGUGUCAUAAAUUUUUAGCUUUAUAUGCAAUUCUUAUAGUUGAGUGUUCAGGAAGCAGAGUUUUGAGAAAGGCUCUAAAGCACCUUCAAAUGGACUUAAGAGAUUCAUGGGUAUUGGUAUUGAAUUCAUAAUAUAUAAUCGAUCUGGAUUUUAUUUGACGCGAACUUUCCUUUAUAUGGAAUAAAUAAUGUUGCCCAUGGGCUGCAAUUUUGUUUCAUGACCCAGAAGUUUUUGAUCCUCCAUCUUAACUUGGCUGGUUUGGAUCCGUUCGAUAUGCCACCGACAUAAAAAAAAAGAACCACACAAGUUACAGAAAAAUAAAAAAGGCAAUGUCCGUGGUGCUUGAAGAAACGUUCAUAAAUGUCUGGUAUAGUAGUAGGGCCAGGUUAAUUUCAAACAAAUGGAUAAUGUUAUACACAAUUUCUAUGAAGAUGUGUGGAAAUUACUAUAUGUUCUCCAACAUCCCAUGUGAAUUCAGGGAUGCAUUUUGCUUAUCCUUCACGGAUCUCUCUUCCUGGACGCCGGAUCGUGGCCCAUUAUCAAUGGUACUGGGAAGAUCGUUGAAUUUUGAAGUUGGUGGUAUCAUAGAUGAUGACAAACAUCUCCUAAGCCAUCCUCUUUUAGUCAAGUCUUCCGGUAACUGAUCUUAUCCUGUUAGGCUCCGGUGAGCUCACGUUAGACCCUCAUGACUUUGACUUGGCAACAACCCCAAUUCACGGAACGACAAGCACAAUUCCUCAAAGGAAAAAUAAAAAAUAAAAAACCACCCAAAUUGGUGACUAUUUAUUUGUUUUAGGUUUGUUUUUCUCUCUUAUUAGUCCAUUUUUCUCUAGAGUGAGCUGGUAUAGAAGUGCUGGACGAAACCAACCCCCAAGUUGGACCAUCUCAGCUGGCCAGCAUAGCUAUUGAUUUAUCCCCCAACUUGGUUCGAUACCAAGCCCCAAAAUUUCACCCAAGCAAUGGCCUAGCUGGUGGGCCUCCACUUUCCAUCAUGGGCCAUAGGUGUACUAUCUUAUCAUAAUCUUGUCUGAUGGGUAAGCGACAACUUGAAAUCUAUAGACUUUUCAACAUUAGCGCCAUAGGCCCAUAGCCCACAUGCAAAUGAGACAAUUUAAGGAUUAACAUAGGUCAUGGAAUAUAUUUGGGGGUUGUACAGUGAGAUGGACGUAUACAUACCAUCAAAUGUACAAGUCAUUAUCUUUCAUUUAAGAUAAUUAUGGGAUUUUAUUUUAUUUUCUUCCACAAUGCAGCUUUCUUUGUGCUGCGAAGACUCGGGACUUCUACUGGAUUUUCUAGUGUUACACAAAGAUUUUACUCAAGUAGAAGUAGAUAAUAACUUCUUUUAUUAGAUAUGUCCGCCUCCAAAUGGGAUUUUUGUCUUAGAGAAAGUAAAUAACAUUUUUGCCUCCCAUUUUGCCACGAGGCUACAAACCCUUAUUUAUUGUAGAACUAGUACACAAGAAAAAAAAAAAAGAGCCUUUAUUCCUUAGUAAUUUUGUAGGCUCUUAGUUGAAAUUGAUUGGGUAUUUAGCCUGUUUGUUUGGUAAAAAGAGCCCCCAGUGUUUCUCAUAUUCUGGGGAUUUCCUGUUCUCAUUAAACAUGGCAAACACGUAAGUCUCGAUAGGCCCUCCAGGCUUCUUUGGAGUCCCACCCUUGACAUGCUGAAUCAAAUUGGAGUUGUAAGUCUUUGCAUUAUCAACUGUGGUUGCCGUCCCACCGGCUGAUGGCCAACCACUCUCUGAAAUAACAACCUGCAAAGAACCGCCACCAGCCCUCUCAAGUGCCGAGUAAACAGCAUCCAAUAUGGCAUCAAAAAGAUUUCUGUAACCAAGCUGUCCAUCUUGCACCACAACUCCAGGAGCCUUGAAAAGAGCAUAAUCUAGGCGAAUGUCCCGGGUGUUACCAAUGUAACUGAAGUAAGGGUACAGGUUAACAAGCAGUGGGGCACGGUUUUUGACCAGGAAGCUGAUGAUGGGGUUGAGAAAGGACGUGACUUCAGGCUUGAAGGCGCCUUUUGAUGGAGGGUAGGAUGUUCCCAGAACCCCAGUGUCAAUGGCAGUGGAAACUUUAAUUUGGUUCCCCAGGCCAGCUGCGGAAAUUGCAUUGAAAAUGUUUCUCAUGGCAGGGAGAACAAAUUGGGCAGUGGGGCCCGUAGGGCUUACUUCAUUUCCAACCGCAACGUAUCGGAAUCUGACAUUACCGUAGUUUUUAAUAUUGUUUUGAACCCAUGAAUUGGCAUUGCCUUGGAUGGAAGCAAUGUUUUGAAGAGCAUCAUUUGGGACACCUAUCAUGAGCUCAAUGUUGGAGCCUCUAAGGGCUUGGAGAGCAGCUUGGUUAGGGUCGUAGAGUCUCAUUCUUCGGAUGCUGUACUGGUUAUAGAGACCUACAACUUGCCCUGGCGGUGGCAAGUUGUCACCCUCCAUUCCAUAACACACUCCCGUUUGGGCAACUGCAAUAUUUGAUAAAAUUGUACAAAGUCAUGAAUCAGUAAUAAAGCAUAUAUACAAAACUUAAUCAAAGUUCUCCCAACUUUUGGGAAAAUGAUUAAUCGUACAAGACGAAAGGGACGAGAGAAAGACCUGUUAAG
rnacentral:lncRNA from 1 species